rnacentral:misc_RNA from 1 species
UGCCGCGUGAGCCUCCUCUGAGUAAAGGAUGAUUGCCCACGAUUAUUAAAGAAAUUACCAGCAUUGCCACUGCUGUCUUUUGAAGAAACAGAAGGGGAAGACGGCGAAGAGGAAGAAGGAGAAGAGGAAGAAACAGAUUUUUGAAAGAAAUGCAUUUGAUUCUCGAUCAUGAAAGAAAGGAAAGUGGACUAGUUGUUGUUGAAGGCUUCAUGAGAAAGAAUAUGAGAUCAGUGCAGCCAUAGGAAAGGCCUCGGUUACUUCUUAGUUCUUGCUUCGAUUACUUGAGAAAUUGUUUUUCUAAAGCUUUGAAUUUGUUUAGUCAACAGUGAGGAUUGGGAUUGGACCUUAGAAUCAGACCUCAAACCUAACUCCAUCCACCAAUCGAAUCAUUCUUACCUCUGAAUUAAAAAAGAAUUGUAAAAGCAGCAUUA